GCAAGUCGAGCGAACGGACGAGAAGCUUGCUUCUCUGAUGUUAGCGGCGGACGGGUGAGUAACACGUGGAUAACCUACCUAUAAGACUGGGAUAACUUCGGGAAACCGGAGCUAAUACCGGAUAAUAUUUUGAACCGCAUGAUUCAAAAGUGAAAGACGGUCUUGCUGUCACUUAUAGAUGGAUCCGCGCUGCAUUAGCUAGUUGGUAAGGUAACGGCUUACCAAGGCAACGAUGCAUAGCCGACCUGAGAGGGUGAUCGGCCACACUGGAACUGAGACACGGUCCAGACUCCUACGGGAGGCAGCAGUAGGGAAUCUUCCGCAAUGGGCGAAAGCCUGACGGAGCAACGCCGCGUGAGUGAUGAAGGUCUUCGGAUCGUAAAACUCUGUUAUUAGGGAAGAACAUAUGUGUAAGUAACUGUGCACAUCUUGACGGUACCUAAUCAGAAAGCCACGGCUAACUACGUGCCAGCAGCCGCGGUAAUACGUAGGUGGCAAGCGUUAUCCGGAAUUAUUGGGCGUAAGGCGCGCGUAGGCGGUUUUUUAAGUCUGAUGUGAAAGCCCACGGCUCAACCGUGGAGGGUCAUUGGAAACUGGAAAACUUGAGUGCAGAAGAGGAAAGUGGAAUUCCAUGUGUAGCGGUGAAAUGCGCAGAGAUAUGGAGGAACACCAGUGGCGAAGGCGACUUUCGUGGUCUGUAACUGACGCUGAUGUGCGAAA
rnacentral:rRNA from 1 species